AGCAGUGGGGAAUUUUGGACAAUGGGCGCAAGCCUGAUCCAGCAAUGCCGCGUGAGUGAAGAAGGCCUUCGGGUUGUAAAGCUCUUUUGUCAGGGAAGAAACGGUGAGGGCUAAUAUCCCUUGCUAAUGACGGUACCUGAAGAAUAAGCACCGGCUAACUACGUGCCAGCAGCCGCGGUAAUACAUAGGGUGCAAGCGUUAAUCGGAAUUACUGGGCGUAAAGCGUGCGCGGGCGGUUUUGUAAGUUGUCGUGAAAGCCCCGGGCUCUUCCUGGGAAUUGCGAUGAGGACUGCGAGGCUUGAGUCUGGCAGAGGGGGGUAUAAUUCUACGUGUAGCAGUGAGAUGCGUAGAGAUGUGGAGGAACACCGAUGGCGAAGGCAGCCCCCUUGGGUCAUGAUUGACGCUCAUG
rnacentral:rRNA from 1 species